rnacentral:rRNA from 1 species
AUUGAACGCUGGCGGCAGGCUUAACACAUGCAAGUCGAGCGGGGGGAGGUAGCUUGCUACCGGACCUAGCGGCGGACGGGUGAGUAAUGCUUAGGAAUCUGCCUAUUAGUGGGGGACAACAUCUCGAAAGGGAUGCUAAUACCGCAUACGUCCUACGGGAGAAAGCAGGGGAUCUUCGGACCUUGCGCUAAUAGAUGAGCCUAAGUCGGAUUAGCUAGUUGGGGGGGUAAAGGCCUACCAAGGCGACGAUCUGUAGCGGGUCUGAGAGGAUGAUCCGCCACACGGGGACUGAGACACGGCCCAGACUCCUACGGGAGGCAGCAGUGGGGAAUAUUGGACAAUGGGGGGAACCCUGAUCCAGCCAUGCCGCGUGUGUGAAGAAGGCCUUAUGGUUGUAAAGCACUUUAAGCGAGGAGGAGGCUACUUUAGUUAAUACCUAGAGAUAGUGGACGUUACUCGCAGAAUAAGCACCGGCUAACUCUGUGCCAGCAGCCGCCGUAA